rnacentral:lncRNA from 1 species
CCGUUUGUUCUAGGUGAGAAGGGUUGACCGAGGCCGGGCGGAGAUGGCGGAGGGGAAGGCGAGUCUCCUCGCCGGUGAGGCGGAGAUGGUGCGCGGCCAGUCCCCGCAUGGAGAGCUCGUAGGCACGAGGCGUGCUUCACAGGGAUGGCUCCAGGUUGGAGAGAUGUGGGCAUGAAGAGGAGCUCAACGGAGCUGCCCCGUCGUGCUCGCCACCAGCAAACUCCAGUCGGUUGGGGCAGUACUAGUCGCCGGCGCCGAUGAGGCGCAAGGUAUAUUUAUUCGCCCCCCUGCAGUCCUCGCUCCGUCCAAUUUUUGUCCUAUGUGUCUGCCCUCCUUCGUGCUUGAUUCAGUUCGUCGUGAUUCUCGCCGGCGCCGGUGGUUUAGUUCGUUGGUCUUUGGCAGGAAUGUUUUGCGGUAGCUUAGUUCAACCGUGGCGAUUUUUCUAGUGAUUCAUCAGAAACGCGCCCUGAAUUUGUUGCAGCCACCUCUUCCGCGCGUGUCAUCCUAUCCCCAAAAUAUCCCUCGCCAAGUGCAUGUUGUCUUGGAUGUAGAUGUCUAUUUUUGUUUCUACGAAGUGUUGAGUGUCAAAUUUUCAUUUACUAAGCAGAUGGUGUGUGGAGCAGGUACAUGUAUACAUUUUCUGGCAUAAAUUGUUUAGGUGGCAGUCCUAAACUGAAAUUAUGAAAUUUAGUUCAUAUUUUUGGAGGUAUACAAGCAGUGCGGCAUGUCACUCGCAACUCAUGUUUAUUUCAGUCAUUCUCAAGCAAGUGGAUGUGAUCUAGUUUUGGUACUGUAGGUUAUGCAGGCCGGCGUGCCGGAGACGGCACCAUUCUCUCACUGCGGUGGCAUCCAUUACCCGACGACGGCGUGGAUUUAGGACUGUUAUACGUUUAUGGAGCCUCGUGUCAGCAAUUAUCCAAAAACUACAGGGUUGUUGACAGCUCAAACCUCGGCCAACAUGGUCGGUCGGAACCAUCAUGAGCUAGCAGGCAGCUGAGGUCUGCACAGGCUUGCUACGGGCAAAAACGUUAGAUGCGGCUAAUGCAUGUAGGCGAAGGGUUUCUUUCUGUUAUGCGGCGUCAUAGACAAGUACAGCGGCUAGCGACGAUUUAUUCAGUGCGAAGAGUCAUUAUGGCAGCAGCUGGUAGAUGAACUUCAGUGACAGCAAUGCAUGCAAAUCAAGUGUUUUUGUGUCGUGUUAUUAAGGACAACAGCUAGGAAGAAUACAUUCAGGUUAUUAGUUUACAACUUGAUCUCUUCGCCUUCUUCUUCAUUUUAAUUCUUUUUAUUACGUGAAUAACAUUUUAUGUUAUUAAGAGUCAGAGCUAUAGUGAGCAGUUUGUUUUGUACAGCCAUGAGAUGCAACAUUUUUUUUUACUUUUUACUGUUAGUCAUCAGUUUGUUUUUACUUUUUUUUGCCGCAUUAGUAUGUUUGUAGCAGACUAGUAGUACCAGAUUAUGUGAUGUUAUAAAGUUGUUCAUUUCCUAUCAAUUUUCCUUAACAUAGUUGGUUUUGUUCAUGUAGACUCCAUCUCACGGCAUGGGCUGGGCAUAUUGAGUGUGAAAUGCCUUUGGAAGCACAAGCUGAUGUUAAAGGCUGCAGAAAUGGACGACACCGUUGUGAUCCAUUAGUAUUUGAUUCCAGCCAAGUGUCGAGAUUAGCAAUGUUCAGUCCACCAUGAGCUUUAGCCUUCGUUUUGUACUUUUUUUGGGUAACAUUUAGUCCAUCCUUUUUUAUCACGAGGAACAUGAGCCGCUGAAGUAAUGUGAAGACUGGGUAGUUUCUUCAGUUUCUUUCGUCAUUGUUUAGGCAUGAGCAGAUGAAGUAAUGUGAAGACUAGGAGGGCCACACAGGCAUUUGUGUCUAAGUUAGUUAGCAUAAUUUUUUACAUUCAUUUCAAAGUCCAUCAUUUUUAUCAUCGAGAGAAGAUCAGUUAUCUCUGUUUGUUAGUUUAAGUCAUCUUUCAUUCACUCACCUUAGUUUCUUACUGUACCUCAGUAUCUUAGUUCAAUUGGUUUUUCUCUCUUCAGUUGUACAUUUUUCUAGGUUUCAGUUUCAGUGUCUCCUUUCCUUAGUUUCGUAUCUCCUUUUCAGUUUUAGUCUCAUUUGUUCCUUAGUUUCAUUAUGUCGAAAUUACCUUUCCUCUUAUUUCAGUCCUUCAUGUUGUGAUUGUUCAGUUUAUUCAUUCGAUCGUUUCCGUGAGUGCUCAGUGUUCAAUUUGUAUUCAUUCUCUAUCUCAGUCCUUCAGUAUAUAUGUCCUCAGUUUUCUUCAGUUUCAGAUUUCUGUAUUUUAGGUUCAGUGUCAUUUUAAGUCUUAUUCAGGUUUCAGUUAUUUGUAUCUUUCUCGUGCUACUCGUUCAUGUUCCUUGUCCUCAGUUGUUUUGUCAUUUCAGUAUUUCAGUUUUAGUAAUUGUUCAGAUCGUCGUCACAUCUUCUGUUAGACUAUAAGUCAAUGUUCAGAUAGUUGACUCAUCAUUGUUCAGUUGUUCUUGCAUCAUCUUAGUCAUAUUCAGUAGGUGUUUUUUUUUCGUUAUCUCAUGUUCAGUCUUUCUCUGUAAAAGAAAUCCAGUAUGUGUCACUUUUUCCUUCAGUUACAGUCAUGAUUAUCGUCAUGUUUCAGUUUUGUAGUCAGUCUUCGUUGUUAUGGUCAUUAAUUCCCCUAGGACAGUUAGCUAGUUUUACUUUUACCAAGUCAUUUUCAUUCCUGAAAUAAAGGUAUUAUUAUUCCUCAGCCAUCAAUUAUCUUCUUUUGUCCUGAGUGUCCAGUUUGCCUCUUUGUUCAGUCUGCUCAUGAUUAACUCAGCAAGUCUCCCACACUAGUGUUUAUCAGUAUCUCAGUUCUAGUUUUCAUUUUCCUCAUGAUUGCACAGUUUUAGUUUUAGUUUCUUCAGUCUCUGUUAAGUGUUUGUAUACUCAGUGAUUGAUCAAUUAUCAGAUUUUUAUGCAGGAAGGUGAUCGCAUUUUUAUUGAGUUCUUCUCUGCCAAGUGGAACAACAGGGACACAAGUAAGCCUUAUCUAACUCUAGUACAUUUUCUUUAUGUAUAAAAUGAUUCACAAGUAAGGCAAUCACAUAAAUGCAGCAUAUAUGUAUAAAUGAAAAUUUCAGUGAAGGAAGGGCAGUGUGUUGCUACCUGAGAUGAUUCCCCUUGGGGUGGCUCCAGGUGGUUGUGCUCUGGAUCGUAAGCAGUAACCCUCAGAUGCUUCCUCCGGCUCAGCAUGCAUGCUUGUUUCAUUUGAUUCAGGUGUGUGUUCUCCACCCGCAGCAACCGAUGUUUUUUCAGUUUUCAUUAGUCUCUAUCUUCGGAAGUAGUUUCGCAUGUACCUCUUCUCUAAAGGAAUGGAAAGUCGCAUACUGUCAAAGCGUUCCCUUUUCAGUCAAGUAUUUUGACUUAUAUCACUCAGCGGACAAUGCAUGGUUCCUUCAUGUUUGUAUUAUUUCUGUAUCUCAGUUUGUUUUUGAUUUAUCCCCUGCACAGGAUGAAGUGCCAAGUGUGUUUCUCCUACUGGCAAGACACGGAUGCGAACAGCACAUCGUUUCUUCACUUUUAGGUUUUCUGUAUUUCAUGGUUAGGUUCAGUGUUAUUUUCAGUCUUAUUCAGAUUUCAGUCUUUCUGUAGACUUCUCCUGCUGGGUAAUCGUUGGGUAAAUCAAGGGCUAGGCAUACGAACAAACACAGCCAUAUGAUAUAAUCAUUGAAUAUUUGUAAUUUUGGGUAAAUCAAGGGCUAGGCAUAUAGGCAACUCAAUUGAACAUGAAUUCUAGACAUAUGAAAGAACCGACACGGCGAAAAUCUUUUUUAAAAGGAAAAAACAUGUGUUCCUCACAAUGAGUACUACUAGGAGAUUUGCCUUAGAAGUUUAAAGGUUUCUGAACAAUUCAUCGCCCAACAUCGGAGUGCGGACUGAAUCCGACUCUAGUCGUCGGUGUUGCCAUUGUUCCAGGGACAUGGGUCAUCUCCUCCUACCAUUGUUGUUAUC